rnacentral:rRNA from 1 species
AUUGAACGCUGGCGGCAGGCCUAACACAUGCAAGUCGAGCGGAUGAAGGGUGCUUGCUUCUGGAUUCAGCGGCGGACGGUUGAGUAAUGCCUAGGAAUCUGCCUGGCUGCUGGGGAUAACGUCCGGAAACGGGCGCUAAUACCGCAUACGGCCUGAGGGAGAAAGUGGGGGGUCCUCGGACCUCUCGCUAUCAGAUGAGCCUAGGUCGGAUUAGCUAGUUGGUGGGGUAAAGGCCUACCAAGGCGACGAUCCGUAACUGGUUUGAGAGGAUGAUCAGUGACACGGGAACUGAGACACGGUCCAGACUCCUACGGGAGGCAGCAGUGGGGAAGAUUGGACUAUGGGCGAAAGCCUGAUCCAGCGGUGCCGCGUGUGUUAAGAAGGUCUUCGGCUUGUAAAGCACUUUUAGUUGGGAGGAAGGGCAGUUGGGUUGUACCUUGCCGGGUUGACGUUACCAACAGAAUAAGCGCCGGCUAACUCCGUG